rnacentral:tRNA from 1 species
GGAGAGAUACCCAAGUGGCCAAAGGGACCAGACUGUAAAUCUGGCGGCUUAUGCCUUCGAAAGUUCGAAUCUUUCUCUCUCCACCA